UUUAAUCUCUGAUUUAUUGCAGGAUGUGACUGGUGAAUGACAGGUUCAACAUACCUAAUGUACUUAUAAAGUUCCUCUCUUGUGUGGGUUUGUUGGUGCAUAUUGAGGCUAAAAUUUUCAUGUUUAGCUUUUUCUAUUUGAGUUGCUUUUCCAAAAGUGACAGUUGAUUUAUUAUAGUUUUCUGCCAUAUGAAUCCUCUCGGAUUUAUAAAACAUCUUUCUUGUGCAGACGUUUGCUUGUCCAGUGGGUCCAAAUGGCUGCUUCAUGAUGUGAAUAUUGUCAUACUGACCAAGAGGCUCACAGAACUGGAGAGAAUUUCCAGGUGGAGAAGAGUGAAAUGUUCCUGUACUUUAAGCAAGACAACAUUUAAAGAGUAUGAUUGGAAUCUAUGAUUGUCUUACAUUCAGUCUUCCCAGAAUCAUGUGGAGGGCCUAGAAUCAUACCUGGGAGAGAAGGUGAAUGGCAGGAGUUCAAUGAAAACUCGGGAGGCCAACGCUGUGGCAUAACGGGUAAAGUUGCUGCCUGCAGUGCCAGCAUUCCAUAUGGGGGCUGGUUCAAAUCCUUCCUGCUGAAUGUACAAUCUAGCUCCCUGCUACGUCCUGAGAAAGCAGUGGAACAUGGUCCAAGACCUUGGGCCACUACACCUGCAUGGGAGACCCAGAAGCUCUUGGGUCUUGGCUUUGGAUCAGCUCAGCUUUUGGCCUUUGCAGUAAUUUGGAGGGUGAGACAGCAGAUAGAAGGCUUUCUUUCUCUCUCUCUCUGCAACUCUUUCAAUAAAUAAAUGAAACUUAAAAAAACCCUCUGGUUUCCUCAUGCACUGAACAGUGGGAAAAAAAGAAUAUGAUAGAAUGAAUAAAGAAUAAUAAAUACAAUAACCA
rnacentral:lncRNA from 1 species